rnacentral:rRNA from 1 species
GACGAACGCUGGCGGCGUGCUUAACACAUGCAAGUCGAACGGAAGGGCCCUGCUUUUGUGGGGUGCUCGAGUGGCGAACGGGUGAGUAACACGUGAGUAACCUGCCCUUGACUUUGGGAUAACUUCAGGAAACUGGGGCUAAUACCGGAUAGGAGCUCCUGCUGCAUGGUGGGGGUUGGAAAGUUUCGGCGGUUGGGGAUGGACUCGCGGCUUAUCAGCUUGUUGGUGGGGUAGUGGCUUACCAAGGCUUUGACGGGUAGCCGGCCUGAGAGGGUGACCGGCCACAUUGGGACUGAGAUACGGCCCAGACUCCUACGGGAGGCAGAAGUGGGGAAUAUUGCACAAUGGGCGGAAGCCUGAUGCAGCAACGCCGCGUGCGGGAUGACGGCCUUCGGGUUGUAAACCGCUUUCGCCUGUGACGAAGCGUGAGUGACGGUAAUGGGUAAAGAAGCACCGGCUAACUACGUG